AACAUUUGUACAGAUAAAAUCAAUUACUAUAAUAAGUACUUUACUUCGUUUCGCUUUACUUUUAUACAAAAAGCGUUUAAUCCUACGUUUUAAACUUCCCGUAGAUGCAUAAAGAUUCGCAAUGUGCGCAUAACGUAAAAGCAGGUACCGUGCUGGCUGGUUGACCAUUCGUGGUGAACGUGUCAGUCACGAAAGGAACGUAUGCCGCUCUCUACUUUUCACCGUCUCUAAAAACACUUCGAUAACGAGUCGUGACACAGUGUUGAUCGGUCGUCAAACUUAUAUUAAUAGAAAGACACGCAUUACCUGCCAACUACCAACU
rnacentral:misc_RNA from 1 species